rnacentral:rRNA from 1 species
CCUACGGGUGGCAGCAGUGGGGAAUAUUGCACAAUGGGCGCUAGCCUGAUGCAGCCAUGCCGCGUGUAUGAAGAAGGCCGUCGGGUUGUAAAGUACUUUCAGCGGGGAGGAAGGUGUUGUGGUUAAUAACCACAGCAAUUGACGUUACCCGCAGAAGAAGCACCGGCUAACCCCGUGCCAGCAGCCGCGGUAAUACGGAGGGUGCAAGCGUUAAUCGGAAUUACUGGGCGUAAAGCGCACGCAGGCGGUCAGUCAAGUCGGAUGUGAAAUCCCCGGGCUCAACCUGGGAACUGCAUUCGAAACUGGCAGGCUAGAGUCUUGUAGAGGGGGGUAGAAUUCCAGGUGUAGCGGUGAAAUGCGUAGAGAUCUGGAGGAAUACCGGUGGCGAAGGCGGCCCACUGGACAAAGACUGACGCUCAGGUGCGAAAGCGUGGGGAGCAAACAGGAUUAGAUACCCCGGUAGUC